AUUGAACGCUGGCGGCAGGCCUAACACAUGCAAGUCGAGCGAGUGGCGGACGGGUGAGUAAUGUAUGGGGACUGCCCGAUAGCGGGGGAUAACUACUGGAAACGGUGGCUAAUACCGCAUACUAUUGGCUAACCCAUAUGGGAUUAGCUAGUAGGUGGGGUAAAGGCUCAACUAGGCGACGAUCUCUAGCUGGUCUGAGAGGAUGAUCAGCCACACUGGGACGGAUACACGGCCCAGACUCCUACGGAGGCAGCAGUGGGGAAUAUUGCACAAUGGGCGCAAGCCUGAGGCAGCCAUGCCGCGUGUAUGAAGAAGGCCUUAGGUGUGUAAAGUACUUUCAGCGGGGAGGCGUUACCUGCAGAAGAAGCACCGGCUAACUCCGUGCCAGCCGCCGCGGUAAUUC
rnacentral:rRNA from 1 species